UUUCCGUAGGUGAACCUGCGGAAGGAUUAUUCAUAAUAAGUGUUUUAUGGCACUUUUUUAAAUCCAUAUCCACCUUGUGUGCAAUGUCAGGGUUGAUUUUUCUCUCGAGAGGAUCAACCCCAAACAUCAACUAUAUCUCAACUCUUUGUCUGAAAAAUAUUAUGAAUAAAACAAUUCAAAAUACAACUUUCAACAACGGAUCUCUUGGCUCUC
rnacentral:misc_RNA from 1 species